GCUUUUCACUAUUCCUAAAAGACCUCCAAUAGUGUUUUGCCACGUGUCCUUCUUUUGUUUCUUUUUGUUUUUUUUUUACCGGAUCUCCCAAAACUACCCUUUCUCUCUCUUUUCCAACAGACCUCCAAUAGCAACCUCUUCCAGCGUUGUCGCACGGCCACCUCCACUCUUCCAGCGCCACCACCACCUCCUCUCUUCCCAUCACCACCAACCACCAAAUCAUCUACCACCGUAUCAACCCGGUUCCUUCCCCUCAAACCCACCACCACCGCCCACCUCUUCACCGUUAGAAUCGCACUGCCACCUUCACCACAACCUAAUUCGAGCACCACUGCUAUCGCUCCCUCUCUUUCCAGAUGGCGCCACCGCCGCCGCCCUUUCGUUCCUUUUUCACGAUUUCUUGCUUCAUCGACUAUAUCGACGUCACCGAUGCCACAGAUUUCCCGUUUCCAGCGAUUUCCGACGUCACUCGGCGCAGAACAUUAUUCUCCGGUGAUGGCCAUCACGUUACCCUGUCAACCCUUACGUGGUUUCCUGAAAGAUUUGCCCUAGAUUUCAUCUCACUGAUUUUUGGGGGAUUUGGUAUGGAAGCAUGCUGAGUUGUCUAUCUUAUCCCCAACUCUUGGAUUUUUACAACUUGUGUCAUGUCCAUCUUCAGUUGAAAUUUGGAUGGGACAAAAUGAGGAUAUCCAUUGCUUUGUAGAGAAGGUGGUAGCUUGGUCUUGAGCAAGAGGGAGCAGAAGGUAGAGAAUUUUCUAUUCUUCACUGGAUAGAGAUGGUCAAGCAACAAUAGUUGUCUUUAGAUCCAUUUAUAAAGGAGAAGAGCUACAUACUUGGUAGGGCUCCCCGAAUGAGAGAGAGGCCAACUGAGGAUUUGGUGGCUGGUCUUAAGCAGCUUGGUCUUCGUGUAGAUGUUGAUUGUUCUAUUGGUACAAACUGUCCAGGUUGUGCAGUGAUUAAGACAUUUUGUUUUCUAGACUUCUUUUCCUGGUCCGUUUGCUGAAAUUUCUUAUCAAUUUUUGUUCUUAAAUUUUUCAUUUUGCUUUACUUUGAUGAGAAAUUGGUAGAAUGCUUCCUUUAGUUUUGUUAUCUUUUCCUGCUUUUUUUUAGUUGAUAUGUGUUGCUAUUUCUUCACUUCUGAUUGAUGGCAAGUAAAUUUGAUUUGUAACCUUUCAUGUUAUAUUGCUUCAGGGUUGUUUUUAGUCAAAUUAGUAAUUAAUGGAGAUAUAACAUCAUUUACGUUAGCCCAUGAAUAAUGUAAACCAUGUUAAAGGUUGUGUUUUGUCCAACAAAUCAGUUCCUGAAUGUUAACUUCACCAGUCUAACUAGUCCUAAAGUACUUGAAACUAGGACCAGCAUAACAUAAAAUCAGGAGGGUUAUGCUUAAUUUGAAUUGUUUUGGAAUUAUUACAAUUGAUGAUAUAGUUUUGUAGUGAUUGAUUUGAUUUUUUACUCUUUCUAAUGUUCACUCUUAGGUAGUUUUGAAUGUAUCACCAUUGUAGUUAGCUUUCUGGUGAACUAAUAAGUGGAAUAUUUCUCUUUAUGGUGAUUCGCUUAUUGUGUACUUCUUUUCUCUGUAUAUAGUCCUUUGGAACUUCUUUUCCCUCUGUCACAUGGUUUAGUUAUUAGGUUAAUGCAGUUUUUCUUCCUCCUUUGUCCUCUUCAAAAGUACAUGGAAGUGGUACUAAAUGUAAUGGUGAAAUAAAUAUAUACUUGGUCUACAGUGGGUAAACUAAGCUUAAUACUGCAACAUGUUAGCAUUGUAGGAUUCCAGUUCUUAUGUUUAAGGUUUUCACAAAGAUCAAUGCCUUUAUAAGUUCUAAGUAAGGUGCUCAACUUAAACUGUUGCCUUUGAAAUGAUAGAAAAUAAUAUAAUUGAAACACUGAAAAUCUUAUAAUUCCAAUUUUUAUGUUUUAGUUUUCACUCACCAACUUAAUAAAGCUUGGUUUAUUGCAUAAUGUGGAUUUGUCAUUGCAGAAGCAAUUGUGUAAUCUGCAAGAAAGAAUAUUUAUGCAGUGUGUUGAAGAUAUAGGAGUUCAAGCCGAUAUGUGCAAUUCUGAUAUUAGGAGGGCAAGGACUGGUUUUCGCAGUGAAAUUUUUAUUCAUUUAAAUGUGCCAAUGCUUAUAAAAUUAUUUUAAAAUAUUAAAAUUUUGGUUUUAUUAAUACAUGACUUUGGACAUGGCAGCGGUCGUUUCUUUCUAUUAAAUGAGAAAUUGAAAAGAAAGACAUGUACAAUUGUUACAUUAGGAGGGCGAGGACCGGUUCUGUGAAAUUUUUAUUCAUUUUAAUGUGCUAAUGUUUAGCAACGUUAUUUUAGAAUAUAAAAAUGUUGGUACAUAACUUUGGACA